rnacentral:rRNA from 1 species
UGCAGUCGAACGGUAGAGGAGCAAUCCUCGAGAGUGGCGAACGGGUGAGUAAUACAUCGGAACGUGCCCAGUCGUGGGGGAUAACGCAGCGAAAGCUACGCUAAUACCGCAUACGACCCGAGGGUGAAAGCGGGGGACUCGCAAGAGCCUCGCGCGAUUGGAGCGGCCGAUGGCAGAUUAGGUAGUUGGUGGGGUAAAGGCCCACCAAGCCUGCGAUCUGUAGCUGGUCUGAGAGGACGACCAGCCACACUGGGACUGAGACACGGCCCAGACUCCUACGGGAGGCAGCAGUGGGGAAUUUUGGACAAUGGGCGAAAGCCUGAUCCAGCCAUACCGCGUGCGGGAAGAAGGCCUUCGGGUUGUAAACCGCUUUUGUCAGGGAAGAAAUACUUCGGGCUAAUACCCUGGGGUGAUGACGGUACCUGAAGAAUAAGCACCGGCUAACUACGUGCCGGCAGCCGCGGUAAUACGUAGGGUGCAAGCGUUAAUCGGAAUUACUGGGCGUAAAGCGUGCGCAGGCGGUUCUAUAAGACAGAUGUGAAAUCCCCGGGCUCAACCUGGGAACUGCAUUUGUGACUGUAGAGCUAGAGUACGGUAAAGGGGGAAAUGGAAUUCCGCGUUGUAGCAGUGAAAUGCGUAGNAUAUGCGGAGGAACACCGAAUGGCGAAAGGCAUCCCCUGGACCUGUACUGACGCUCAUGCACG